UGGGGAAUAUUGCACAAUGGGCGAAAGCCUGAUGCAGCAACGCCGCGUGAACGAAGAAGGUCUUCGGAUCGUAAAGUUCUGUCGCGUGGGAAGAAAAAGACGGUACCAUGUGAGGAAGCACCGGCUAACUACGUGCCAGCAGCCGCGGUAAUACGUAGGGUGCUAGCGUUAUCCGGAAUUACUGGGCGUAAAGGGUGCGUAGGUGGUCUAGUAAGUCAGGGGUUAAAUCACACGGCUCAACCGUGUCAAGCCUCUGAAACUACAUGACUUGAGUGCAGGAGAGGAAAGCGGAAUUCCCAGUGUAGCGGUGAAAUGCGUAGAUAUUGGGAGGAACACCGGUAGCGAAGGCGGCUUUCUGGCCUGUAACUGACACUGAGGCACGAAAGCGUGGGUAGCAAACAGGAUUAGAUACCCUGGUAGUCCACGCCGUAAACGAUGAGUACUAGGUGUCGGGGGUUACCCCCCUCGGUGCCGCAGCUAACGCAUUAAGUACUCCGCCUGGGGAGUACGUACGCAAGUAUG
rnacentral:rRNA from 1 species